AGGCACGUAGCUCAGAGGGAGAGCACUACCUUGACACGGUAGGGGUCGGCGGUUCAAUCCCGCCCGUGCCUACCA
rnacentral:tRNA from 1 species